GGGCAAGUGGAGAAAUUGGUAAACUCGCCAGUCUUAGGAACUGGUGUCGCAAGACUUCUCGGUUCAAGUCCGAGGUUGCCCACCA
rnacentral:tRNA from 1 species